UCAAACUUGGUCAUUUAGAGGAAGUAAAAGUCGUAACAAGGUUUCCGUAGGUGAACCUGCGGAAGGAUCAUUAACAAGCAAGGCGAGGCGCGGAUGCGCACAUUUGCUCGUGCUGCGGCGCAUGCGUCGCGGGCACGUUGCUGCAUACAUUGAUUCUGCAAGGACCGAGGGCCGCCUGCGGCAGCGCGGCGCGGCCACACACCACAACACAACAACAACUUUCAACAAUGGAUCUCUAGGCUCUUGCAUCGAUGAAGAACGCAGC
rnacentral:misc_RNA from 1 species